AGUGAACGCUGGCGGUAGGCCUAACACAUGCAAGUCGAACGGCAGCACAGUAAGAGCUUGCUCUUACGGGUGGCGAGUGGCGGACGGGUGAGGAAUACAUCGGAAUCUACUUUUUCGUGGGGGAUAACGUAGGGAAACUUACGCUAAUACCGCAUACGACCUACGGGUGAAAGCAGGGGAUCUUCGGACCUUGCGCGAUUGAAUGAGCCGAUGUCGGAUUAGCUAGUUGGCGGGGUAAAGGCCCACCAAGGCGACGAUCCGUAGCUGGUCUGAGAGGAUGAUCAGCCACACUGGAACUGAGAAACGGUCCAGACUCCUACGGGAGGCAGCAGUGGGGAAUAUUGGACAAUGGGCGCAAGCCUGAUCCAGCCAUACCGCGUGGGUGAAGAAGGCCUUCGGGUUGUAAAGCCCUGUUGUUGGGAAAGAAAAGCAGCAGGUUAAUACCCCGCUGUUCUGACGGUACCCAAAGAAUAAGCACCGGCUAACUUCGUG
rnacentral:rRNA from 1 species